UCGAGCGGAUGACGGGAGCUUGCUCCUUGAUUCAGCGGCGGACGGGUGAGUAAUGCCUAGGAAUCUGCCUGGUAGUGGGGGACAACGUUUCGAAAGGAACGCUAAUACCGCAUACGUCCUACGGGAGAAAGCAGGGGACCUUCGGGCCUUGCGCUAUCAGAUGAGCCUAGGUCGGAUUAGCUAGUUGGUGGGGUAAUGGCUCACCAAGGCGACGAUCCGUAACUGGUCUGAGAGGAUGAUCAGUCACACUGGAACUGAGACACGGUCCAGACUCCUACGGGAGGCAGCAGUGGGGAAUAUUGGACAAUGGGCGAAAGCCUGAUCCAGCCAUGCCGCGUGUGUGAAGAAGGUCUUCGGAUUGUAAAGCACUUUAAGUUGGGAGGAAGGGCAGUAAGUUAAUACCUUGCUGUUUUGACGUUACCGACAGAAUAAGCACCGGCUAACUCUGUGCCAGCCGCCGCGGUAAU
rnacentral:rRNA from 1 species